rnacentral:ncRNA from 1 species
CUAAGGUCCCAAAGUGUGUGUUAAGUGGAAAAGGAUGUUAGGUUUCUAAGACAACUAGGAUGUUGGCUCAGAAGCAGCCACUCAUUUAAAGAGUGCGUAACAGCUCACUAGUCGAGAGGUCUAGCGCCGAAAAUGUCCGGGGCUAAAACACACCACCGAAGCUACGGAAUUACCUAUGGUAAUUGGUAGAGGAGCAUUCUGUAAGGAUGAAGCACAAUUGAAAGAGAGUGUGGACGAAACAGAAGAGAGAAUGCCGGAAUGAGUAGCGAGAUAUAUGUGAGAAUCAUAUAGGUCGAAUGUCUAAGGUUUCCUGGGUAAAGCUGAUCUGCUCAGGGUAAGUCGGGACCUAAGGUGAGGGCGAGAGCCGUAAUCGAUGGACAACAGGUAGAAAUUCCUGUACUACGUAUAAUCAGAACUGUGGGGACGCAGGAGGAUAGGAAAACCGGAGAAUGGAAAAAUCCGGCUAAGUACAAAGGUGUGAGUGAUAGGCAAAUCCGUCACUAUUAGCUGAAGUACGAAUGGGAGCGAAGAAAAGUAGCGAAGUUUCUGAAUCCACACUGUCAAGAAAAGCCGCUAUUGCGUUAUACGUACCCGUACCGCAAACCGACACAGGUAGACGAGGAGAAAAUCCACAGACCGACGGGAGAAGUGUUGUUAAGGAACUCGGCAAAAUGACCCCGUAACUUAGGGAUAAGGGGAGCCAACGCAAGUUGGUCACAGAAAAGAGGCUCAAGCGACUGUUUAGCAAAAACAUAGGUCUAUGCGAAACCGUAAGGUGAUGUAUAUGGGCUGACGCCUGCCCGGUGCUGGAAGGUUAA